UUGGGCCUCCACUCCAGUAAUACUAUUGUCAAAUACUCCUUGACUCACACUGAGAAUCUUCUUCCAUCACAUUUCAUAGAGUGGGUCAGGUUGGAAAGGACCACACAUGCGGUCCAACUUCCCUGCUCAAGCAGGGCCAUUCUAGGACACACUGCCAAGAAUUGCACCCAGAGGGUUCUUCAAUAUCUCCAGUGCGGGAGACUCCACAGCCUCUCUGGGCACCUGUUCCAAAGUGCUGUAACCCCAACAGUGGUUCUUCCUCAUGUCCAGGUGGAACUUUCCAUACAUCAGUUCCUGUCCAUUUUCUCUUGUCCUAUUGCUCAGCAGCACCGAGCAGAGCCCAGUCCAUGCUCUGACCCCUCCCUGCAGACACUGGCAGACAUUAAUGAGGUCUCCCCUCAGUCAUCUCUUUUAGAGGCUCAACAUGCCCAGCUCGCUCAGCCUUUCCUCAUAAGAGAGAUGUUCCAUCCCCUUGACCACCUCUGUAUCUCUCUGCUGGACCCACUCCAGGAGCUCCAUGGUUGUUUUUACCGAGGAGCCCAGAACUGGGCACAGCAUUCCAGACAAGGCCUCACCUGGCCUGAGCAGAAGGGCAGGAUCUCCUCCCUCGAUCUGCUGACAAAGCUCUUCCCAAUGCAUCCCAGGACACCACUGGCCCUCCUGGCCUCAAGGGCACUGCUGGCUCACGGACAGCUUGUUGUCCACCGUGACCCCCAGGUCCUUGUCCUGCUUUCCAGCAGGUUGGGCCCAGCCUGUGCCAGGGGCUGUUCCUCCCCAGGUGCAGGACGCUGCACCUGCCUUUGUUGAACUUCAGACAAUUCUUGUCUGCCCAUCUCUCCAGGUCCCUCUGAAGGGCUGCAGACCCCUCCUCAGCUUUGUGUCAUCAGUGAACACCCUGAGCAGGCCUCUGCCCCUUCCGCCAGGUUGCUGAGGAGUAAAGUAAACAAUACUGGGCCCAGCACUGACCCUUGGGUGACACCACUAGUGACAGGCCUCCAACUAGACCCUGUGCCACUGAUUAUCCUUUGGGAUCUGCCACUCAGCCAGUUUUCAAUCCAUGUCACUGCCCACUCGUCCAGUCCACACUGCCUGAGUUUGCUUACAAGGAUAUUGUGAGACACAGUGCUGAAGGCCUUGCACUGGGUGUGACCAUACCCUGGUAGUUGGUGGGGAUGGAAGAGCAGCCAGAUGCAUUCAGCUGGAAUGACCUUAGCUAUUAACAGAAGGGCACGAGAAGGUCUUUCUCUUCAUGGCUGAGAGCACUCCCUCCAAAAAACUCUGCUCUGAAACAUGCCUUAGUACCAAAACCCUGGGACUGUGGAUGAGACCUAAGUAGACAAAAAGAAUAUAGCAGGGUCAUCUUCCUGACCUCCUCUGGACUGUUCCAACAGGUCCAUGUCCUUAUUGUGGUGGGGGUCCCAAAGCUGGAUGCAGUACUCCAGAUUGAGAGCUCCUUCCAGAUUCACAGCCUGUGUGCACUUUUCUGCAGUUGCUCACCAUAGCCCACCACAAGAUGAUGAAAUAGGCAGGGCGGAUGGCAUCAUGACCACAAAACAGGAUGCAAACCAAGAUGCUGUCACGUGAAGUCAGCUCCUACACCUGUGCCUAUGGGACACAACCCCCACUCUUGGUCAGACUGUCCCCCUUCUGUUUUCUCCUUCUGGGCAUCCACACUCCUCCACUCCUCACAUGUGGAAAAGGUGGGAAUGGUGACAGCCCUGCUGAGGGGCACAGGGCACACAUACAGUACCCACACCCUUGAGGGAGGCAUGGAGCAGCUGAUAUAGGUCUUUCCCAUAGCACUUAGGCUUCAGAGAGUAGAAACAGGUUGUAAAGUACAAAAAAUAGUUUGUUGUUAAGUGCAACCCUCUUUUUUCUGUUUCCCCUAUUUACUUCUCCUUU